UACGGAGGGUGCAAGCGUUGUCCGGAUUUAUUGGGUUUAAAGGGUGCGUAGGCGGAUAGGGAAGUCCGUGGUGAAAUCCUGCAGCUUAACUGCAGAACUGCCGUGGAUACUCUCUAUCUUGAAUAUCUGGAGGUUAGCGGAAUAUGUCAUGUAGCGGUGAAAUGCUUAGAUAUGACAUAGAACACCCAUUGCGAAGGCAGCUAACUACGCGAUCAUUGACGCUGAUGCACGAAAGCGUGGGGAUCAAACAGG
rnacentral:rRNA from 1 species